ensembl:snoRNA SNORA70 Small nucleolar RNA SNORA70
CCACAGCCUAUUAAGCCGAACGAGGUUCUUCCCUCACAAGUGCCUGGUGCACAGUGACUUCAGACAGCCAUCUUCUUGGUAGUGUAUGCAGUCUGUUGCCUGUAAGGACUGCACCAAGGAUCUUAGAACCACAU